CCGGGUGGCCGCCCACCGCCUCCUCGGCGCCGGGAGCAGCAGAGAUGUUGGCCCUCCCAGAUUGCUAGAGAGGCUCUGGAGGGCCCGGGGAGGCGACGCGCGUGCGCGACAUGGGCAGCCUGGAGAUAGGCGCGGGCCCGGCGGCCGAUGGCUCACUUGGAGGGUCGGCUGUGGGUCCGCGGCCGGAGUGGCUCAACUUGUUUCCCCGGUUCCUGCCUUUCCCCAAGCUGGGAGCUCUGGAGACCAAGCAGGAACAACUGUGCUUCGGAUGGUCAGGUGCCAGGACACUGCGGCAUGUGAGGACCUGUCUGUGGAUGACACUGAGCAGAAGUGGAAAGGUCUGGCAUUCAGUCAGAGAGCCCUGUACUGGAACGUAAUGCUGGAAAACUACCACAGCUCGGCCUCGUUGGAAGGUGAGAACAGGAUGAAGAGUUCAGAGUUGACUUUGAAGCAGGACAUUUCUAAUGGAUCAGAGUCAUCUGCUAGGACAAUAGGGGGGCUCUUUGCAGUGGUUCCUAGGGGAAUGGAGGCUGGAUAUGUCCAUGAAAAUACUUCUAAGAAGCUAGAAGGGUAACCCUCAGAUGAAGAAGAGAGCAGACUACAGAGUGAUUUCUUGAGAAUAACAGACAAGGGUAAGAAAAAAUCCAGAAAAGACAGGGAUGAGGAAUGUAAGGAGGUUGGGAAACAUCAAAAUAUGUCCUCCAGUCCUGCUGAACAUGGGGGAACUCCAAAAGGACAGAAGUCCUAUCAGUGUGAUGAAUGUGGGAAAGCUUUCAGUUGGAAUUCACACCUCAUUGGCCAUCAGAGAAUCCACACUGGAGAGAAACCCUAUGAGUGUAAUGAAUGUGGUAAGACCUUCAGGCAGACUUCUCAGCUCAUCGUUCAUUUGAGAACACACACAGGGGAAAAACCUUAUGAAUGCAGUGAGUGUGGAAAGACCUAUAGGCAUAGCUCCCAUCUCAUUCAACACCAGAGACUCCACAAUGGGGAGAAACCUUAUAAAUGUAAUGAAUGUGGAAAAGCUUUUAAUCAGAGUUCCAAACUCUUUGACCACCAGAGAACUCAUACUGGAGAGAAACCUUAUGAAUGCAAGGAGUGUGGGGUGACAUUUAGUCGGAAUAAAAAUCUUGUCCGACAUCAGGUCCUUCACAGUGGUAAGAAACCUUAUAAGUGUAAUGAGUGUGGGAGAGCUUUCUGUUCCAACAGAAAUCUUAUUGACCAUCAGAGAAUCCACACUGGGGAGAAGCCUUAUGAGUGUAAUGAAUGUGGCAAGGCCUUUAGUCGGAGUAAAUGCCUUAUUCGACAUCAGAGCCUCCAUACUGGGGAAAAGCCAUACAAAUGUGGUGAAUGUGGGAAAGCCUUCCAUCAGAACUCUCAACUUGCUGACCAUGAGCGAAUUCAUACUGGAGAAAAACCAUUUGAAUGUAGUGAGUGUGGUAAAGCAUUCAGUCUGAGUAAAUGUCUUAUUCGACACCAGAGACUUCACACAGGUGAAAAGCCCUAUAAGUGCAGUGAGUGUGGAAAAUCCUUUAAUCAAAACUCGUACCUCCUUAUACACCAGAGAAUUCACACUGGUGAGAAACCCUAUGAAUGUCAUGAGUGCGGAAAGGUCUUCAGUUAUAGCUCUAGCCUAAUGGUCCAUCAGAGAACCCAUACUGGGGAAAAACCCUAUAAAUGUAACGAUUGUGGGAAAGCCUUCAGUGACAGCUCCCAGCUCAUUGUGCACCAGAGAGUUCACACUGGAGAGAAACCUUAUGAGUGUAGUGAGUGUGGGAAAUCCUUUAGUCAGCGUUCCACUUUUAAUCACCACCAACGAACUCACACUGGAGAGAAGCCCUCCAGUCUGACUCAGUCAGUUUCUUAAGGCCUGGUUCUCUGAGACAGAGAGCAAAGACCUUUGAGUUAAGCUUUCUUUAUAAGGAUGCUUUUCCUGGUCUCCCUUUGGAAGAAGUAAUCAUUUUGAACCUUUGCCUGCCUGGUUUCCUUUGGGUCACUAAGGUAUUUAUUUAUUUAUUUAGUUUUUUCCAGACAGAGUCUCAACUAUGUCACCCUCCGUAGACUGCCAUGGAGUUACUGCUCACAGCAACCUCGAAGUCUUGGGCUUAAGCAGUUCUCUUGCCUCAGCCUCCUGAGUAGCUGGAACUACAGGUGCCCGCCACAACGCCCAUCUGUUUUUUGGUUGCAUUUGUCAUUGUUGUUUAGAAGGCUCAGGCUGGGCUCGAACCCGCCAGCUUUGGUGUACAUGGCGGGCGCCCUACUCACUGAGCUAUGGGCACUGAACCUUUCUACUGGUUUUUCAGUCUUGAGGAGCUUUGUUAGGUGAGUGGUCCUGGGCAAAUCACUUAGCUUCCUUGUAGGUCCCUCCAUCUAUUAAAUGGAGCUACCUCAUAGGAUUGUGAGAAUUAUAUUAGCUCAUAUGUAUAAGGUACUUAAAAUAGUGCUUGGCACUUAGUACAUAGUCUUGCAAUUAUUAUUAGAGUUUUGGUUCAGUGGAUAGGGUGCCGGCCCCAUAUGCCAAGGGUGGCAGGUUCAAACCUGGCCCCAGCCAAACUGCAACAACAAAAAAAUAGCCAGGCAUUGUGGUGGGUGCCUGUAGUCCCAGCUAGUCGGGAGGCUGAGGCAAGAGAAUUGCCUGGGCCCAGGAGUUGGAGGUUGCUGUGAGCUGUGUGACGCCAUGGCAUUCUAUGGAGAGCGAUAGAGUGAGACUCUGUCUCUACAAAAAAAAAAAAAAUUCAUUGUAAUUUUAUUGGCUAUGUCCUUUUUUUAUAAUUCAUUUUGUUGGCCAGUUUCCAAACACGAUCUAUUUCUGUCAUGUGAGGAACAGCAUUCCUCCCCUUCACAGUGGUCACAGUUCCAUCCUGGAAUUGGAGACACUCAUCAGACAUUAAAACAUGCCUGUUCUUUGAUCUUGGGUUUCCCAGCUUCUAAAACUGUGAGAAAUAAAUUUUUAUGCUUUGUAAUUACCUUAUCUCAGGUAUUCUGUUGUAGUAGCACAACAGAUUAAGACACACCCUAAGGAUGGCUACCUGUUAACUGAGACUGUGCCCAAAGGGCUGAACUCUGCAGUGGCGAUGGCUGUGCAGGCUAAUCUAACAGUGAUUCUGCUGCAUAUUUAGACUCAUGGGAUUUUGCAAAUGGGCUAGCCAUAUGGUCCAGUGACUGGCAGAUUAAUGAUUGUGCAGGAGAUGCGACAUGAUUAACUGUGCCACAUCAGCUGGGGCAAAGGGCCCAUGAGAGUGUGGCAUUAUUCCGUGAAGGGGCUGUAUACGCGAAGUGAUCCCCAAAUGCAAGUGGAGCCAUGAAACCGAAGAAUGGGGCAAACAAAUCAGCUCCUCUGUAUAGGAUGGUUUAUUUUGGAGCCUUGUGGACUGAAGCAUGGUCUUGGGUGGUAGUAUAAAGGUAGAUCUCAAAAAAAGAAAGGUAAAUCUCUGCACUUCAACCCACCAGACCUAGGACAUAUAUCUGGGGCAGAAACUACAUGCUGUAGAGGGAAUUUGCUGGUGGAUAAGACAAUGGUGUUGGCAUCACAGCCUAUGAUUUCGGCAAUAGCUAUCAAGGGUUAUUUUGGAGAAAAGGUUAAACUUACAUUGAAUGGGUGUUUCUACA